CAAAUGUGGCCACACACCAGUGCUGCUCCUACACAGCUGGAUGACCAGCGCUGCAAACUGAGAGCUGUGUUUGUCUUCCUGCUCCCUUUGUGAGUCACCAUGGAAACUAAUGAGAGAGGAGUCUCAUGCCAGGGGAGCCCCAAGAAGAACCGUUCUAUCACCACUUUGUUUUGGCACAGUUGUCUGGGACAAUGUUCUAGCUGGCACAGUCUCCAUGGUUAUUUACAAGAAACCCAAGAAUGACCUCUCCUGGGUGAUUCAGGCAGAGGAGAGCACAGCAGGGGCUCUCUGCACACACACUCUCCUCCCCACCCCCCCAAUGAGAUAAUUCCUUCCCAUCACACAUUUCUUUGACAGGCCUGAAAGAUACCAGAGCAGGGAAUGCAAACAUCUGGCAGCUGCACGUCUGACUCCUGUGUCAGACCAGGAAGGGAGCCAAAAGCCCUUUCAACAAAGCCAGCCAUAUCUGUUAAUAGAAAUUUUUCUCUUCUCUCCCCCAACCCACCCAAAACACUCCAACCUACUGGUUCCAGUGAAAUAGACUUCAGUAAAUAGGGAUUCUAUAACAGGGAAUUCUGCUCAUCUCCAAAUCCUAUUUUGCUCUGAGCACUGUGCUGCUGCAAGCUGUUUGCACUGAGAUAAUCACAGAUCAGAAGGGCACCCCAAGACCUACUUUCCUCUUUACUUGUUUAGAGUAUUGGCUUGACAGCUAUGGAAAUUGAAAUCCUCUAUGCAUCCUCUAAACAGGUACAUGGACCGCAACAGUGCCUCCUGCACCUUGCCCAACCUCUGACCUCCAAGAAACACCUGUCAGGUUCAGAGGAGAAUUCAGUCUCCAGGAUCCACUCAGGCCUUGGCAUCUGUACCAGGAAGGUCAGAAGUAUAAAUUGUAUUUGUGGGUUUGUGGUGUGGACAUCUGGCUAUGAAGAACUGGACUGAGAGCACCAUAGCUUUUCAUAUCAGCCCCCUAACAGCCAUCAGAUCACAACAAUUUUUGCUUUCUACAGAAUGGUCUGAAAAUGAACCAACAAUCUAGAAAUUAAAAGUACUAUAUCCUA